rnacentral:rRNA from 1 species
GAUGAACGCUGGCGGCGUGCUUAACACAUGCAAGUCGAACGAAGCACUUUAUUUGAUUUCCUUCGGGACUUAUUAUUUUGUGACUGAGUGGCGGACGGGUGAGUAACGCGUGGGUAACCUGCCUUGUACAGGGGGAUAACAUUUGGAAACGGCUGCUAAUACCGCAUAAGCUCACAGCAUCGCAUGAGGCAUUGUUAAAAACUCCGGUGGUAUAAGAUGGACCCGCGUUGGAUUAGCUAGUUGGUGAGUUAACGGCCCACCAAGGCGAGGAUCCAUAGCCGAGAUGAGAGGCUGACCGGAGACAUCGGGACUGAGACACAGCCCAAAAUCCUACGGGAGGGAGCAGUGGUGAAUAUUGCAAAAUGGGCGAAAGCCUGAUGCAGCGACGCCGGGUAAGCGAAGAUGUAUUUCGGUAUGUAAAGCUCUAUUAGCAGGGAAGAUAAUGACGGUACCUGACUAAGAAGCACCGGCUAACUACGUG